rnacentral:tRNA from 1 species
GCCUCGAUAGUGUAAUGGAUAAACAUAAUAGACCGGAUAUCUAUAGGUGAGGGUUCGAGUCCCGGUUGAGAUU